rnacentral:misc_RNA from 1 species
UGCGGAAGGAUCAUUACUGAUUUGCUUAAUUGCACCACAUGUGUUUUUCUUUGAAACAAACUUGCUUUGGCGGUGGGCCCAGCCUGCCGCCAGAGGUCUAAACUUACAACCAAUUUUUUAUCAACUUGUCACACCAGAUUAUUACUUAAUAGUCAAAACUUUCAACAACGGAUCUCUUGGUUCUCGCAUCGAUGAAGAACGCAGCGAAAUGCGAUACGUAAUAUGAAUUGCARAUAUUCGUGAAUCAUCGAAUCUUUGAACGCACAUUGCGCCCUCUGGUAUUCCGGAGGGCAUGCCUGUUUGAGCGUCGUUUCUCCCUCAAACCGCUGGGUUUGGUGUUGAGCAAUACGACUUGGGUUUGCUUGAAAGACGGUAGUGGUAAGGCGGGAUCGCUUUGACAAUGGCUUAGGUCUAACCAAAAACAUUGCUUGCGGCGGUAACGUCUACCACGUAUAUCUUCAAACUUUGACCUCAAAUCAGGUAG